CCUACGGGAGGCAGCAGUGGGGAAUAUUGCACAAUGGGGGAAACCCUGAUGCAGCGACGCCGCGUGAGUGAAGAAGUAAUUCGGUAUGUAAAGCUCUAUCAGCAGGGACGAAAAUGACGGUACCUGAGUAAGAAGCCCCGGCUAACUACGUGCCAGCAGCCGCGGUAAUACGUAGGGUGCAAGCGUUAUCCGGAUUUACUGGGUGUAAAGGGAGAGUAGGCGGCAGUGCAAGUCAGGAGUGAAAGGCGGGGGCUCAACCCCCGGACUGCCCUGGAGACUGUACGGCUGGAGUGCAGGAGAGGUGAGUGGAAUUCCUAGUGUAGCGGUGAAAUGCGUAGAUAUUAGGAGGAACACCAGUGGCGAAGGCGGCUUACUGGACUGUAACUGACGUUGAGGCUCGAAAGCGUGGGGAGCAAACAGGAUUAGAUACCCCUGUAGUC
rnacentral:rRNA from 1 species